UUUGGCCAGUUUGAAGGUUUUUGACCAUGUGUAAUGGCAUGAAUGCGUUAAGCUGUUGUUUUAGUGUUCUUUUGAUGAGUUUGGCUUGUUGUUAUGAAAAGUGUUUGUUUAAGCGAGUUUGAACGUUUUUGAGCAUGUGUAAUGGCAUGAAUGCGUUAAGCUGUUGUUUUAGUGUUCGUUUGAUGAGUUUGGCUUGUUGUUAUGAACAUUUUUCGUUUUGGCCAGUUUGAAGGUUUUUUGAGCAUGUGUAAUGGCAUAAAAGUGUGAAGCUGUUGUUUUAGUGUUCUUUUGAUGAGUUUGGCUUGUUGUUAUGAGCAUUGUUUGUUUUGGCGAGUUUGAAGGUUUUUUAGCAUGUGUAAUGGCAUGAAUGUGUGAAGCUGUUGUUUUAGUGUUCUUUUGAUGAGUUUGGCUUGUUGUUAUGAAAAGUGUUUGUUUUGGCGAGUUUGAACGUUUUUGAGCAUGUGUAAUGGCAUGAAUGCGUUAAGCUGUUGUUUUAGUGUUCUUUUGAUGAGUUUGGCUUGUUGUUAUGAACAUUGUUCGUUUUGGCCAGUUUGAAGGUUUUUUAGCAUGUGUAAUGGCAUGAAUGUGUUGAAUUAGUAAUCCCUUGUGUUAAGCCGUUGUUUUAGUGUUCUUUUGAUGAGUUUGGCUUGUUGUUAUGAAAAGUGUUUGUUUUGGCGAGUUUGAACGUUUUUGAGCAUGUGUAAUGGCAUGAAUGCGUUAAGCUGUUGUUUUAGUGUUCUUUUGAUGAGUUUGGCUAGUUGUUAUGAAAAGUGUUUGUUUUGGCGAGUUUGAACGUUUUUGAGCAUGUGUAAUGGCAUGAAUGCGUUAAGCUUUUGUUUUAGUGUUCUUUUGAUGAGUUUGGCUUGUUGAUAUGAAAAGUGUUUGUUUUGGCGAGUUUGAACGUUUUUGAGCAUGUGUAAUGGCAUGAAUGCGUUAAGCUGUUGUUUUAGUGUUCUUUUGAUGAGUUUGGCUUGUUGUUAUGAACAUUGUUCGUUUUGGCCAGUUUGAAGGUUUUUGAGCAUGUGUAAUGGCAUGAAUGCGUUAAGCUGUUGUUUUAGUGUUCUUUUGAUGAGUUUGGCUUGUUGUUAUGAAAAGUGUUUGUUUUGGCGAGUUUGAACGUUUUUGAGCAUGUGUAAUGGCAUGAAUGCGUUAAGCUGUUGUUUUAGUGUUCUUUUGAUGAGUUUGGAUUGUUGUUAUGACAAGUGUUUGUUUUGGCGAGUUUGAACGUUUUUGAGCAUGUGUAAUGGCAUGAAUGCGUUAAGCUGUUGUUUUAGUGUUCUUUUGAUGAGUUUGGCUUGUUGUUAUGAACAUUGUUCGUUUUGGCCAGUUUGAAGGUUUUUUAGCAUGUGUAAUGGCAUGAAUGUGUUGAAUUAGUAAUCCCUUGUGUUAAGCCGUUGUUUUAGUGUUCUUUUGAUGAGUUUGGCUUGUUGUUAUGAAAAGUGUUUGUUUUGGCGAGUUUGAACGUUUUUGAGCAUGUGUAAUGGCAUGAAUGCGUUAAGCUGUUGUUUUAGUGUUCUUUUGAUGAGUUUGGCUAGUUGUUAUGAAAAGUGUUUGUUUUGGCGAGUUUGAACGUUUUUGAGCAUGUGUAAUGGCAUGAAUGCGUUAAGCUUUUGUUUUAGUGUUCUUUUGAUGAGUUUGGCUUGUUGAUAUGAAAAGUGUUUGUUUUGGCGAGUUUGAACGUUUUUGAGCAUGUGUAAUGGCAUGAAUGCGUUAAGCUGUUGUUUUAGUGUUCUUUUGAUGAGUUUGGCUUGUUGUUAUGAACAUUGUUCGUUUUGGCCAGUUUGAAGGUUUUUGAGCAUGUGUAAUGGCAUGAAUGCGUUAAGCUGUUGUUUUAGUGUUCUUUUGAUGAGUUUGGCUUGUUGUUAUGAAAAGUGUUUGUUUUGGCGAGUUUGAACGUUUUUGAGCAUGUGUAAUGGCAUGAAUGCGUUAAGCUGUUGUUUUAGUGUUCUUUUGAUGAGUUUGGAUUGUUGUUAUGACAAGUGUUUGUUUUGGCGAGUUUGAACGUUUUUGAGCAUGUGUAAUGGCAUGAAUGCGUUAAGCUGUUGUUUUAGUGUUCUUUUGAUGAGUUUGGCUUGUUGUUAUGAAAAGUGUUUGUUUUGGCGAGUUUGAACGUUUUUGAGCAUGUGUAAUGCAUGAAUGCGUUAAGCUGUUGUUUUAGUGUUCUUUUGAUGAGUUUGGCUUGUUGUUAUGAACAUUGUUCGUUUUGGCCAGUUUGAAGGUUUUUGAGCAUGUGUAAUGGCAUGAAUGCGUUAAGCUGUUGUUUUAGUGUUCUUUUGAUGAGUUUGGCUUGUUGUUAUGAAAAGUGUUUGUUUUGGCGAGUUUGAAGGUUUUUGAGCAUGUGUAAUGGCAUGAAUGCGUUAAGCUGUUGUUUUAGUGUUCUUUUGAUGAGUUUGGCUUGUUGUUAUGAACAUUGUUCGUUUUGGCCAGUUUGAAGGUUUUUUAGCAUGUGUAAUGGCAUGAAUGUGUUGAAUUAGUAAUCCCUUGUGUUAAGCCGUUGUUUUAGUGUUCUUCUGAUGAGUUUGGCUUGUUGUUAUGAAAAGUUUUUGUUUUAGCGAGUUUGAACGUUUUUGAGCAUGUGUAAUGGCAUGAAUGCGUUAAGCUGUUGUUUUAGUAUUCUUUUGAUGAGUUUGGCUUGUUGUUAUGAAAAAUGUUUGUUUUGGCGAGUUUGAACGUUUUUGAGCAUGUGUAAUGGCAUGAAUGCGUUAAGCUGUUGUUUUAGUAUUCUUUUGAUGAGUUUGGCUUGUUGUUAUGAAAAAUGUUUGUUUUGGCGAGUUUGAACGUUUUUGAGCAUGUGUAAUGGCAUGAAUGC
rnacentral:lncRNA from 1 species